GCCGGAGAGCGAGUCACCGUAAUUAGUGAGGUUGGUUUCAUCCCGGCUGCCCACGUCAAUAGCUAUCACCACUUUGGCCCCCAUGGAGCGCGCCACAUCAGCUGGGAGAGGAGGAGGAGAUGGAAAACAAAAGACGUUGCUGAUGCUGGAGUUGAAAGCAGCACCGGAGAACAUGGAGGUGACUGGCUACGGUCCUCAGCAUAUAGUGCUCCCAUCAGGGAACCAAUGGAGGUGCCACCAAUUAGGUCCACUGGGAUGCCAGCCUCACAGAUAGCCCGCAUUAUCCCCACCUGGGAGCAGCCCCUGAACAAGAGGUGCAGGUCUAAGAGCUGUGUAAAUACGGUCAGGACUGCUGUGUCGUUGUGGUGUCAACUAUACAGUGACAGCCCGUAGCCAUAUCCCCCACACAGCCAUGAUUGAAAAAAACAGAGACAGAGCUGAGGCGGAAAAUACAGUGGAUGGUGCCUGCUCUGGCAUGUGACAGCUGGCCAGUCAGAGCAGACUGAGCUUUUUGGGAAGGGGAAGUUAAGCCUGAAACACACUGUGGCAACCACUGGCCAUCUGAAGCAUUAGGGGAGACGAGUUUGGGAACAAAUCUAAGACUAACGCCACCCAGUGUUAAGGAGACCUACUGCAUCUUGCACAAGCGCUGAACGUACACGCUACUGUGGAUUUGGCAGCCAUCGAAGUGGUAUGUUUAAUGCAACUUUUCUGCCGAACGGGUGGACAAGAGGCAAUGGAGUGGUCGGAUAUAAGCAGUUGGCCAUUGGUCUGGGCUGUGUGUGGGGGGCCUUUAAAGAGACAGACUAAAAUGGAGUAUUCAGAGAAAGACGACAUUGAGGCGCUGCAGUAAUGAACAGUACUACAAAAAUAAUGAUUUUUAACAUCAAAGCAUGUUAACAUUUUCAAGAAAACACCAAAUGUAAAAGUAUGAACCUGAAAAUUAGCAUAUCAUGGAGCUUUUAACCAAAAACACUACAAUAUUUUGGCAUAAUUUUAUCAUAUUCAGGUCCUAGAUUACAACACAUUAUAACGUGAAUUUAAGAAUAACAGUUUGGGGUGAAGACACUGGGGUG